GCGUUUGUAGCUCAGCUGGAUAGAGCACAGGCCUCCGACGCCUGGUGUCAAGGGUUCGAAUCCCUCCAAACGCA
rfam:Lachnospiraceae bacterium strain KH1P17 genome assembly, contig: Ga0059119_103